ACAGACAGACAGGAACAGAACAGUUAGAGAUGGGAGGAGAAAGGGAGACAGAGGUCAGAACAGUUAGAGAUGGGAGGAGAAAGGGAGACAGAGGUCAGAACAGUUAGAGAUGGGAGGAGAAAGGGAGACAGAGGUCAGAACAGUUAGAGAUGGGAGGAGAAAGGGAGACAGAGGUCAGAACAGUUAGAGAUGGGAGGAGAAAGGGAGACAGAGGUCAGAACAGAACAGUUAGAGAUGGGAGGAG